rnacentral:lncRNA from 1 species
GCACAGUGUCUUCCUUUGGCUUUGGUAUCAAGGUAAUGCUGGCCUCAUAAGGCUUCCGAGGUGAUCGGGCAGCAUCAGUCUUCAGCUGCUAAGCCGAGAAGAUCUGGGAAGGAGUCAGUCAGAGAGCCGUGGGCCAGAGUUCCAGGGGCUCUGGGAGUGGCUGCCAGGAGCACAAAGGAAAGGCCAUGCGAGGACACAGGGAGAAGACAGGCCCCUACCAGUCAGGAAGGGAGCCCUCACCAGAAACUGAGCUGGCCAGCACAAUGGUCUUGGACUUGUAGCUCCAGAACUGUGAGGAAAUAAAUUUCUGUUGUUGAAGCC